GACGAACGCUGGCGGCGUGCCUAAUACAUGCAAGUAGAACGCUGAAGAGAGGAGCUUACUCUUCUUGGAUGAGUUGCGAACGGGUGAGUAACGCGUAGGUAACCUGCCUUGUAGCGGGGGAUAACUAUUGGAAACGAUAGCUAAUACCGCAUAACAAUGGAUGACACAUGUCAUUUAUUUGAAAGGGGCAAUUGCUCCACUACAAGAUGGACCUGCGUUGUAUUAGCUAGUAGGUGAGGUAAUGGCUCACCUAGGCGACGAUACAUAGCCGACCUGAGAGGGUGAUCGGCCACACUGGGACUGAGACACGGCCCAGACUCCUACGGGAGGCAGCAGUAGGGAAUCUUCGGCAAUGGGGCAACCCUGACCGAGCAACGCCGCGUGAGUGAAGAAGGUUUUCGGAUCGUAAAGCUCUGUUGUAAGUCAAGAACGGGUGUGAGAGUGGAAAGUUCACACUGUGACGGUAGCUUACCAGAAAGGGACGGCUAACUACGUG
rnacentral:rRNA from 1 species